AUUGAACGCUGGCGGCAGGCCUAACACAUGCAAGUCGAGCGGUAGAGAGAAGCUUGCUUCUCUUGAGAGCGGCGGACGGGUGAGUAAUGCCUAGGAAUCUGCCUGGUAGUGGGGGAUAACGUUCGGAAACGGACGCUAAUACCGCAUACGUCCUACGGGAGAAAGCAGGGGACCUUCGGGCCUUGCGCUAUCAGAUGAGCCUAGGUCGGAUUAGCUAGUUGGUGAGGUAAUGGCUCACCAAGGCGACGAUCCGUAACUGGUCUGAGAGGAUGAUCAGUCACACUGGAACUGAGACACGGUCCAGACUCCUACGGGAGGCAGCAGUGGGGAAUAUUGGACAAUGGGCGAAAGCCUGAUCCAGCCAUGCCGCGUGUGUGAAGAAGGUCUUCGGAUUGUAAAGCACUUUAAGUUGGGAGGAAGGGCAGUUACCUAAUACGUGAUUGUUUUGACGUUACCGACAGAAUAAGCACCGGCUAACUCUGUGCCAGCAGCCGCGGUAAUACAGAGGGUGCAAGCGUUAAUCGGAAUUACUGGGCGUAAAGCGCGCGUAGGUGGUUAGUUAAGUUGGAUGUGAAAUCCCCGGGCUCAACCUGGGAACUGCAUUCAAAACUGACUGACUAGAGUAUGGUAGAGGGUGGUGGAAUUUCCUGUGUAGCGGUGAAAUGCGUAGAUAUAGGAAGGAACACCAGUGGCGAAGGCGACCACCUGGACUGAUACUACACUGA
rnacentral:rRNA from 1 species